rnacentral:rRNA from 1 species
CCUACGGGUGGCAGCAGUAGGGAAUAUUGCACAAUGGGCGAAAGCCUGAUGCAGCAACGCCGCGUGAAGGAAGACGGUUUUCGGAUUGUAAACUUCUGUUCUUAGUGAAGAAUAAUGACGGUAACUAAGGAGCAAGCCACGGCUAACUACGUGCCAGCAGCCGCGGUAAUACGUAGGUGGCAAGCGUUGUCCGGAUUUACUGGGUGUAAAGGGAGCGUAGGCGGGAAGCGAAGUCAGCUGUGAAAACUACGGGCUUAACCUGUAGGCUGCAGUUGAAACUGGCUUUCGUGAGUGAAGUAGAGGUUGGUGGAAUUCCGAGUGUAGCGGUGAAAUGCGUAGAUAUAACGCAGAACACCGAUGGCGAAGGCAGCCUGCUAGGCCAUGACUGACGCUGAUGCACGAAAGCGUGGGGAUCAAACAGGAUUAGAUACCCUAGUAGUC